ensembl:lncRNA PMS2P4 PMS1 homolog 2, mismatch repair system component pseudogene 4
AGGAGGCGGGGCGCCUGUGGGAGUCGUGGAGGGAACUUUCCCAGGCCCCGAGGCGGAUCGGGUAUUGAGUCCAUGGAGCGAGCUGAGAGCUAGAGUACAGAACCUGCUAAGGCCAUCAAACCUAUCGAUCGGAAGUCAGUCCAUCAGAUUUGCUCUGGGCCGGUGGUACUGAGUCUAAGCACUGCGGUGAAGGAGUUAGUAGAAAACAGUCUGGAUGCUGGUGCCACCAAUAUUGAUCUAAAGCUUAAGGACUAUGGAGUGGAUCUCAUUGAAGUUUCAGACAAUGGAUGUGGGGUAGAAGAAGAAAACUUUGAAGGCUUAAUCUCUUUCAGCUCUGAAACAUCACACAUGUAAGAUUCAAGAGUUUGCCAACCUAACUGAGGUUGAAACUUUCGGCUUUCAGGGGGAAGCUCUGAGCUCACUGUGUGCACUGAGCGAUGUCACCAUUUCUACCUGCCACGCAUCGGCGAAGGUUGGGACUCGACUGGUGUUUGAUCACGAUGGGAAAAUCAUCCAGAAAACCCCCUACCCCCACCCCAGAGGGACCACAGUCAGCGUGAAGCAGUUAUUUUCUACACUACCUGUGCACCAUAAGGAAUUUCAAAGGAAUAUUAAGAAGACGUGCCUGUUUCCCCUUCGCCUUCUGCCGUGAUUGUCAGUUUCCUGAGGCCUCCCCAGCCAUGCUUCCUGUACAGCCUGCAGAACUGCCCCUCCAGACAUGUCCAUCUGCCUGCUGUGUUGACUUUUCCCUUUGGAGUCUUGAGGCAGCUACAAGCUUACUGACCAGAAAUGAACUCAAGCUCUCCCCGAAGCCUGGUCCUCUUCCAGGAUCAGCCAGCCUGGAAGAUGGCACUGUCAUCCACCCUGUUCUCAGGCCUGCCACCCAGGAGUCAACCUUAGCCCCAUCUAAUUGUCAGAGGCAUCUGAACCACAGCAACUCCAUCUUGAGUAGGGGAUGGGUAAAAUGAGGCUGAGACCUGCUGGGCUGCAUUCCCAGACAGCCAAGGCAUUAGCCACAGGAUAAGAUAGGCGGUCGGUACAAGACACAGGUCAUAAAGACCUUGCUGAUAAAACAGUUGGCAGUAAAGAAGCCAGCCAAAACCCACUAAAACCAAGAUGGCAACGAGAGUGACCUCUGGUCGUCCUCACUGCUACCCUCCCACCAGCACCAUGACAGUUUACAAAUGCCAUGGCAAUGUCAGAAAGUUACCCUAUAGGGUCUAAAAAGGGGAGGCAUGAAUAAUCUACCCCUUGUUUAGCAUAUCAUCAAGAAAUAACCAUAAAAAUAGGCAACCAGCAGCCCUCAGGGAUGCUCUGUCUAUGGAGUAGCCAUUCUUUUGUUCCUUUACUCUCUUAAUAAACUUGUUUUCACUUUA